CGGGAAUAUUGGGCAAUGGAUGCAAGUCUGACCCAGCCAUGCCGCGUGCCGGAUGAAGGCCCUCAGGGUUGUAAACGGCUUUUAUUCGGGAAGAAGAGCGGGGAUGCGUCCCUGUGUGACGGUACCGAAUGAAUAAGCACCGGCUAACUCCGUGCCAGCAGCCGCGGUAAUACGGAGGGUGCGAGCGUUGUCCGGAUUUAUUGGGUUUAAAGGGUGCGUAGGUGGCUAUUUAAGUCAGUGGUGAAAUACAGCCGCUCAACGGUUGAGGUGCCAUUGAUACUGAAUAGCUUGAAAGAAUUGGAGGCUGCCGGAAUGGAUGGUGUAGCGGUGAAAUGCAUAGAUAUCAUCCAGAACACCGAUUGCGAAGGCAGGUGGCUACGAUUUAUUUGACACUGAGGCACGAAAGCAUGGGGAGCAAAC
rnacentral:rRNA from 1 species